ACCAAAUUCUCCAAAGAAAAGGAUAAGAAAUACUGUGACAUUAGAGCUACAUCGAAAAUGGAAAAAAAAAAAAAAAACUAAUGGAUAGAACCAAAAGAAAAGGAUAAGAAAUACUGUGACAUUAGAGCUGCUCAAAAUAUGGACGAAUGAGAACAAACUGGUCAUCAAUGGUGGGAUAUAUUCUUUUACCAAGAUCAAAGGCCAAAGCGGCUUGAACUCUAUUUGAAUCACAUAACACAGUUAUGGAAACAAAUUAACCCUGGACAUUUAAGCAGUAUUAGAACCUCGAAACAGAACCAAAAAUAAAAAGCAUACAAACAUGCACAAAUCCAUAUACU
rnacentral:lncRNA from 1 species